UGGAUGCACCGACUGACGUUUACAUCACAUCCUACUGCACGAUUCCUUUGACCCAGUAUAGGAAGGCUGCUUCUAGAUCAUUUUCUGCUCACCACAAGAAGCCAAAGUUGUACAGAAUUUCCUUGAAACUCUCUUAAAUGUGGAUGUAUAGGAAUUCCCAGGCUUGAUUUCAGUGUUUAGGUGAGAAUAGUUUGCAGACAUCAGCCAUGCAUCUGUGAUGUGAGUAGCAAAAUGCAAAGACGUGAUCUCAACAAGUUUGCAAGUGAGACUUUAGCAAAAACUAUUCCAGUGUAGAGGAGCCUCUGAACUGCUUUUUAGGAUGUGAGAAAAGGGGAGUAAAGUGAAGGCCUGGAUGAAUGUGGGACAGAGACAGGGACAGAGGCAAAUAAGAGAACACUUAUCUCAAAAAAGUAGCUAAUGAUAUAGGGAAUGGCCAUCUGCUUCGUAACUGAUCCGGCCAAGCCCAGACUCCCUGCCCACUAGGAAGUGAGGUAUGACACUGCAAUGAAGAGUCGUUCUGGCCUUGUCAACAGCAACAGUCAGCACAGGCGGAUCUGCCUAUCAGAGACCAGGACUCUGACCUCCCACCUCUCAGCCUCUCAGGAAUCAGAGCCUGGAACAGACAGAUGCCCCAUUCCGGUUCUGACCCUGCCAUGGGCCCCGGGCUUCUCCACUGUGUGGCUUUUUGUCUCCUCGGAGCAGGUCAUGUGGGUGCUAUGGUCAUGCAGAAUCCAAGAUACCGGGUUACCAGCGUGGGAAAAACAGUGACUCUGAGCUGUUCUCAGAACAUGAACCACGAUACCAUGUACUGGUACCAACAGAAGCUGAGCCAAGCACCAAAGCUGCUCUUCUACUACUAUGAAAAAGAAUUUAACAAUGAAACAGACACUCCUGAUAACUUCCAACCCGGCCGGCCUAAUACUUCUUCCAGCUCUCUUGACAUCCGCGCACCAGGCUUGGGGGACUCAGCCGUGUACCUCUGUGCGAGCAGCAAAGACACAGAGCUGCAGUGUUCCCUCCCCUCCGUUCAUAAACCUCUUUGUUUCCCUGUUACAAGUGCUUUCUCCAGGAACCCCCUCCCCACUUCUUACAACAAUAGGAAGUGGGUUUGUAGCUGUUAUUAUCUCCUUUGUGGACAGAAGUUGAUCACAAACCAACAAAAACCAUUGACGGUUAUGCUAAGAGUGAAAAAGUGGUUACACUUGCCUGUCAUUCAGUUCGUGGUAUUUUCCCAGGGUCACCUCAAGAACCCAUUUUGUCCUCUUCAGUAG